AUUGAACGCUGGCGGCAUGAUUUACACAUGCAAGUCGAACGGUAACAGGCCGCAAGGUGCUGACGAGUGGCGAACGGGUGAGUAAUGCAUCGGAACGUGCCCAGUCGUGGGGGAUAACUACUCGAAAGAGUAGCUAGUACCGCAUACGAUCUAUGGAUGAAAGCGGGGGACCGUAAGGCCUCGCGCGAUUGGAGCGGCCGAUGUCAGAUUAGGUAGUUGGUGGGGUAAAGGCUCACCAAGCCAACGAUCUGUAGCUGGUCUGAGAGGACGACCAGCCACACUGGGACUGAGACACGGCCCAGACUCCUACGGGAGGCAGCAGUGGGGAAUUUUGGACAAUGGGCGCAAGCCUGAUCCAGCAAUGCCGCGUGCAGGAAGAAGGCCUUCGGGUUGUAAACUGCUUUUGUACGGAACGAAACGGCUCCGGUUAAUACCCGGGGCUAAUGACGGUACCGUAAGAAUAAGCACCGGCUAACUACGU
rnacentral:rRNA from 1 species